AACAGCGAGUGAUCCUGGUCGGACGGACAAGGUACCAGGAGUUGAUCCUGGCUCAAGAAUGCCUACAUCUGCCUGUAGGGGGGACAACGAUCAAAGGAACGCUAAUACCGCAUACCCCUACGAAAGUGGGGUAUCUUCGACCUCACGUAUCAUGACCUACGUCGGAUUAGCUAUGGGGAGUAAAGGCUCACCAAGGCGACGAUCCGUAACUGCUGAAGGAUGAUCAGCACACUGGAACUGAGACACGGUCCAGACUCCUACGGGAGGCAACUCCGGGGAAUAUUGGAAAUGGGAAUCUUCCUGAUCCACCAUGCCGUGAGGAGAAAACGCUUGAGAUUGGAAGACUUUAGAUCGGGAGGACUGGUGCCAAGAAAUACCUUGUGUAUGACGUGUCACAAAAUAAGCCCGUGUAACUUCGCCCGCAUCCCUAAAUACGAAGGGUGCAGAUAUCGGAAUUACUGGGGUCAAACGCGCGGAGGGGUCGUGAGUGGAUGUAAACCCCGGGCUCACGGGAACUGCUUAUAUGAGCUGGUCUGGAGAGUUGGGUAAUCUGUGUACGACAUCUGUAGUGGACCACCACGGGAAGGCACUAACUGCGGUGAGCGAGGGGGAGACGCAGACAUGGGAUCACCUACGAUGCUACCGGGGACUGUAAUGCGCUAAAAGGGUUCAAGCCGUGGAGCACCACAAUCAUUGCGCGACGAUCGACGAUGUGAUUAAUGUCCAUACAUUCAGGAAACUCCGGACUUGCCAUACAUAUCUGCUCGGAACUGACCAUCAUUGUGUCGGAAGUCGUAAAGUCAGA
rnacentral:rRNA from 1 species